rfam:Heterocephalus glaber contig9393, whole genome shotgun sequence.
GGGGAUUUAGCUCAGUGGUUCCACCAUCUGCCUCUCAAGCGGAAGGUCCCAAGUUCAAUCCCUGGUACCCCCC